ACCUUCAGUUUUUUCAGUUUGACAAUAAACUCUCUAGGUAACAUAGAAGCUGCUAAUGCCACUACCAAUUCUCAGUCGCUGGAAUGCCAUAACAUAAGCUACAUCACACAACUCCCAAAAAAUACAGCAGAGCAGCUCAGCUAGAGCAGCAGCCACCCUUCUUCACUGCCGAAACAUCAUCCUUUAUGUUGAUCUUCUCACCCUUGCCAGGCCCAGAUGCUGCAUCUUCGCCCGCUUCAACUGCUCUCUUACUCACAAUGCGGUAGAUCUGGGUUAAGACCUCUGCAAAUGCAUU
rnacentral:lncRNA from 1 species